GCCACAGGUGGUUAACACUGUUCCAUUGAAGCCCAUUGAAGAUACUGUUUCAUUGCCUCAUGCAUCUGUAGAUUUGCAACCAUCUGGAGUUUAUGUGCUACUAACAACAACUGAGAAGGUUGAUAACACUGUUCCAUUGAAGCCCUCUGAAGAUACUGUUUCAUUGCCUCAUGCAUCUGUAGAUUUGCAACCAUCUGGAGUUCCCGUGCUACUAACAGCAACUGAGAAGGUUGAUAACACUGUUCCAUUGAAGCCUUCUGCAGAUACUGUUUCAUUGCCUCAUGCAUCUGUAGAUUUGCAACCAUCUGGAGUUCCCGUGCUACUAACAGCAACUGAGAAGGUUGAUAACAACUCAGAAC
rnacentral:lncRNA from 1 species